CCCCUAGACGUUCUGGGCUGCACGUGCGCUACAAUAAUACGCACAGCGAGUAUCACCGAGCUCGAAAGGGCAAGGUAAACAAUAGAAAAGGUACUGUAAUGGUUAUAGAUCCUUGUAAUUAUUGAUCUUCAUCGAGGAAUUCCUAGUAAGUAUGUGUCAUCAUCACGCACUGAUUACGUCCCUGCCCUUUGUACACACCGCCCGUCGCUCCUACCGAUUGGGUGAGCCGAUGAAACUCUCGGAUGUAGGCUAUUCAUAGCCCGCAGAAGAGAUUUGAAUCGUAGCGCUUAGAGGAAGGAGAAGUCGUAACA
rnacentral:rRNA from 1 species